rnacentral:rRNA from 1 species
UACGUAGGGCGCAAGCGUUAUCCGGAAUUAUUGGGCGUAAAGAGCUCGUAGGCGGUUCGGUAAGUCGGGUGUGAAAACUCUGGGCUCAACCCAGAGAGGCCACCCGAUACUGCUGUGACUAGAGUGCGGUAGGGGAGCGGGGGAAUUCCUGGUGUAGCGGUGAAAUGCGCAGAUAUCAGGAGGAACACCAGCGGCGAAGGCGCCGCUCUGGGCCGUAACUGACGCUGAGGAGCGAAAGCAUGGGUAGCAAACAGG